AGAGUUUGAUCAUGGCUCAGAACGUACGCUGGCGGCACGCCUAACACAUGCAAGUCGAACGAAGUAGCAAUACUUAGUGGCAGACGGGUGAGUAACAUGUAGGUAUCUGCCCUUUGGCCUGGAAUAACACGAGGAAACUUGUGCUAAUACCGGAUAAGUCUUUACGGAGAAAGCUUUAUGCACCAUUGGAUGAGCCUGCACUUGAUUAGUUUGUUGGUGGGGUAAUGGCCUACCAAGACUGUGAUCAAUAGCUGAUUUGAGAGGAUGAUCAGCCACAUUGGGACUGAGACACGGCCCAAACUCCUACGGGAGGCAGCAGUGGGGAAUCUUGCACAAUGGAGGAAACUCUGAUGCAGCGAUGCCGCGUGAGUGAAGAAGGCCCUUGGGUUGUAAAGCUCUUUCGUCGGGGAAGAAAAUGACUGUACCCGAAUAAGAAGGUCCGGCUAACUUCGUGCCAGCAGCCGCGGUAAUACGAAGGGACCUAGCGUAGUUCGGAAUUACUGGGCUUAAAGAGUUCGUAGGUGGUUGAAAAAGUUAGUGGUGAAAUCCCAGAGCUUAACUCUGGAACUGCCAUUAAAACUUUUCAGCUAGAGUAUGAUAGAGGAAAGCAGAAUUUCUAGUGUAGAGGUGAAAUUCGUAGAUAUUAGAAAGAAUACCAAUUGCGAAGGCAGCUUUCUGGAUCAUUACUGACACUGAGGAACGAAAGCAUGGGUAGCGAAGAGGAUUAGAUACCCUCGUAGUCCAUGCCGUAAACGAUGUGUGUUAGACGUUGGAAAUUUAUUUUCAGUGU
rnacentral:rRNA from 1 species